rnacentral:tRNA from 1 species
ACCUGGCUGGCUCAGUCGGUGGAGCGUGUGACUCUUGAUCUUGGGGUUGUGAGUUCAAAUCCCACACUGGGUG